CGGGGUGUAGCUCAGUUGGUUAGAGCGCGCGCUUUGGGAGCGUGAGGUCGCACGUUCGAAUCGUGUCACCCCGA
rnacentral:tRNA from 1 species